UGACUGCGUACCUUUUGUAUAAUGGGUCAGCGACUUAUAUUCUGUAGCAAGGUUAACCGAAUAGGGGAGCCGAAGGGAAACCGAGUCUUAACCGGGCGUUAAGUUGCAGGGUAUAGACCCGAAACCCGGUGAUCUAGCCAUGGGCAGGUUGAAGGUUGGGUAACACUAACUGGAGGACCGAACCGACUAAUGUUGAAAAAUUAGCGGAUGACUUGUGGCUGGGGGUGAAAGGCCAAUCAAACCGGGAGAUAGCUGGUUCUCCCCGAAAGCUAUUUAGGUAGCGCCUCGUGAAUUCAUCUCCGGGGGUAGAGCACUGUUUCGGCAAGGGGGUCAUCCCGACUUACCAACCCGAUGCAAACUGCGAAUACCGGAGAAUGUUAUCACGGGAGACACACGGCGGGUGCUAACGUCCGUCGUGAAGAGGGAAACAACCCAGACCGCCAGCUAAGGUCCCAAAGUCAUGGUUAAGUGGGAAACGAUGUGGGAAGGCCCAGACAGCCAGGAUGUUGGCUUAGAAGCAGCCAUCAUUUAAAGAAAGCGUAAUAGCUCACUGGUCGAGUCGGCCUGCGCGGAAGAUGUAACGGGGCUAAACCAUGCACCGAAGCUGCGGCAGCGACACUGUGUGUUGUUGGGUAGGGGAGCGU
rnacentral:rRNA from 1 species